CUACUGCUGAAUAGUCUUACAAUAGGACGAAACAACCGUCCAGUAC
rnacentral:hammerhead_ribozyme from 1 species